ACCAGGCGUAGCUCAAGUUGGUAGAGCACCGGGUUAGUAACUGGCGGGUCUGGAGUUCGAUCCCCAGAGUCGGCA
rnacentral:tRNA from 1 species